CUCUAUUCCCCUUUUGUUCGCCGCUCGGAGGCAGACACGCACAACGCCGGCCGACGGCUCUCUUUCUCCCCCAUCUUAUCACCACCCCGGCCACACGGAGAUCCGCGCCCCAGCCCGAGACCGCUUAUCGCGUCGGCACCGAGCUCGUGCCACGACUAAAUCCGUUGACAAGCGGCGCCAAGCUGCGGUGGUUGUGGCGGCAAUGGCCGCGGAGAUGAAUUCGCUGGGCAUGGUGGGGGCGAGCGCCGGGGUCCAGGUUCCACCAUGGCGCCGCCAAGCAUCUUCGUUUGCCCAGCGAUGGUUGAGUCGUUCUGGGAUCGAGCCCUCUGUCCUUCACGAAUUUUGUUUCAGUGCGUCGAUGCCAAUAUUGUUCCUCAAAAGCUUGUGAAUCGUGCAGGAGUAACAAUAAGUCUUGCAUUGAAUUUGUUCUUUGGCUCUUAUCUCACGACAGUGGAUAGUAAGUGAUAUGAUAACCUUCUAUACAUGCCUAGUGUAUUAGAAAUUCAGGAAGCCAAUUUGGGAACGCAAUUAACUUCUGUCGUUGUAUUGCUGACCUGGUAUUGGGUGGUCGGCGGUGGGGUGGAGCUCGGCGUUGUAGACUGGAACUUGCUGUUCAUGGAGGACAUCCUCCCCGGAUUCCUCUUGGCGGCGCAGCAGGCGGCACGCGGCACGCAGGGGGCAUCGCUUGGGAAGGCCGGCACCAUUUCCAUUCAGUACCACUGGACACAACUGGUACCUUUGGUGGAGCGCAGAUGUAGUUCCGGCUAAUGGAGUUGAUUGGGUGCAGCAACUACCUAUUUCCGGUGAAGUGAGUCGAUUGGCAGCAAUCGAGAGUAUUUCCGGUGAAGUGAGUCGAUUGACAGCAAUCGAGAGUAUUUCCGGUGAAGUGAGUCGAUUGGCAGCAAUCGAGAGUAUUUUUGAUUAUACGGCAGGGAAUCAAAGUCCUUUUAUGAUACGGGUGUGGUUCCGCGUUUUGGCACAGUUCCUAUCGGAUUAGAAGAAGAGUUUGGCAGAGUUGAAGUCGUUUUUUAUUCGCUGGACUUGUUUUAACAUUGCUCGGAUACUAAUAGUCGCUGGGCUUGUUUUAAUAUUGCA